AAACACUACAUACAACUUCGAGGCUCCAACUCUUUCGCCAUCCCUCCGUCACUCCCUUCCCUCAUUCAAAGCAACAAAGAGAUUGCUUCAAAGAAAACCUUCAAUUGCGUGGGAUUUUGUGUUCAUUCCUCUUCAUAGUAGAUCUGGCUCCUUCCUCUUCAAGUUUCUUGGUUUUGUUCAUAGUAGACUUUUAAACUCACUUGGUUUCUCAUUUACCCACUCGGUCCACUGGCGGUUCUUGGGUUUCUCAUUUACCCUCUUGAUUUUCUUUGCUUCAUUAUUCAAUCUUUGUUAUCUCCCAAAUUCAAUCUUAGGUCUGUAUAUUAGUUCUUUCCUUUUGGAUGUGAAGGAUUAAUCACUUUGAACAAUGCCAUUAGUUUCACAUUUUUUUUGAAUUUGAAUUUAUAUUAUCUUUUUUUAAGCACAAACUUGUUUGGUUCUGAGAUUUACUUUAUUUAUUUUUAAUUACUUUGGGUUCUUUCCUUUUAGUUGUUUUUGUUUUGAAAUUGAAUAUAAGAGAAAAAGUUUUGCUAUGAUUUUUUUGUUUUGAUUUUUCUUAUAUCUUGAAGUCUCUCUAGACUCUUUCUAAAAAUUAUCUCUCUUUCUCUUUGUGUAGGUAAAAGUCUCUCUUUUGCUUGCUGGGUCAUUGAAGGGUUCUUUGGUUGAGCUUUGAGCUUUUUUUUAUUAGAGGAAAAGCUAAAUUUUUGGUUAAAGGAUUGUUGUUUGGUUUAUGGGUUUCUUUCCAACCUUGUUGGAGUGAGAAAUAGCAGUAAGUUUUGCCCUAUGUAUUUUUCUUUUUCAAAUUAUUAGUUAAUCAUACUUAUAAGUGUCUUUGGUUUAGAUUAUUUUCAAUUAUGCUCUUGACAAUGAAAAAUUAGAACUUUGGUGAAUCAUCUUUUUAUUGUACAUGAAAAAUAAUGCUUUAUACAAUUUUUUAGGUAAAUUGGUAGUUCACUUGUCUCAG
rnacentral:misc_RNA from 1 species